rnacentral:rRNA from 1 species
AUUGAACGCUGGCGGCAGGCCUAACACAUGCAAGUCGAGCGGAGCGGCGGACGGGUGAGUAAUGCCUAGGAAUCUGCCUGGCAGUGGGGGAUAACGUACGGAAACGGGCGGUAAUACAGCAUACUAUCAGAUGAGGCUAGGUCGGAUUAGCUAGUUGGUGGGGUAAAGGCCUACCAAGGCGACGAUCCGUAUCUGGGCUGAGAGGAUGAUCAGUCACACUGGAACUGAGACACGGUCCAGACGCCUACGUGAGGCAGCAGUGGGGAAUAUUGGGCAAUGGGCGAAAGCCUGAUCCAGCCAUGCAGCGUGUGUGAAGAAGGUCUUCAGAUUGUAAAGUACUUUCAGCGGGGAGGCGUUACCCGCAGAAGAAGCACCGGCUAACUCCGUGCCAGCAGCCGCGGUAAUAC